rnacentral:rRNA from 1 species
AGAGUUUGAUCCUGGCUCAGGACGAACGCUGGCGGCAGGCUUAACACAUGCAAGUCGCACGAGAACGUUUUGGCUUUGCCAAGACAAGUACAGUGGCGGACGGGUGCGUAACGCGUAGAUAACCUACCCUCAGGCGCGGGACAAUCGCGGGAAACCGUGGCUAAUACCGCACGUCGUCUGGACCCCGCAUGGGAUCCAGAUGAAAGCCUUCGGGUGCCUUUGGAUGGAUCUGCGUUGGAUUAGCUCGUUGGUGAGGUAACGGCUCACCAAGGCAACGAUCCAUAGCUGGUCUGAGAGGACGAUCAGUCACACUGGGACUGAGACACGGCCCAGACUCCUACGGGAGGCAGCAGUGGGGAGUCUUGCACAAUGGGGUCACCCCUGAUGCAGCCAUGCCGCGUGGAGGAAGACACCCCUAUGGGGCGUAAACUCCUUUUCUGAGAGAAGAAACCUCUGUAGGUUCAGAGCGCGACGGUAUCUCAGGAAUAAGCACCGGCUAACUCCGUGCCAGCAGCCGCGGUAAUACGGAGGGUGCAAGCGUUGUCCGGAAUCACUGGGUGUAAAGGGUGUGCAGGCGGGGCAACAAGUCGGAGGUGAAAGCCCAUGGCUCAACCAUGGAAGUGCCUUCGAAACUGUUGCUCUUGAGUCCCGGAGAGGUUGUCGGAAUUCGUGGUGUAGCGGUGAAAUGCGUAGAUAUCACGAGGAACACCAGAGGCGAAAGCGGACAACUGGACGGGUACUGACGCUCAGGCACGAAAGCGUGGGGAGCAAACAGGAUUAGAUACCCCGGUAGUCCACGCCGUAAACGAUGAA